UGGGUGAUCUGCCCUGCACUUUGGGAUAAGCCUGGGAAACUGGGUCUAAUACCGAAUACACCCUGCUGGUCGCAUGGCCUGGUGGGGGAAAGCUUUUGCGGUGUGGGAUGGGCCCGCGGCCUAUCAGCUUGUUGGUGGGGUGAUGGCCUACCAAGGCGACGACGGGUAGCCGGCCUGAGAGGGUGUCCGGCCACACUGGGACUGAGAUACGGCCCAGACCUCCUACGGGAGCA
rnacentral:rRNA from 1 species